UUGCUGAGCGUGCUCCUGAACUGCAGCAGCGUGGACCUGGGACCCACCCUGAGUCGCAUGAAGGACUUCACCAAGGGUUUCAGCCCUGAGAGCAAAGGAUAUGCGAUUGGCAAUGCCCCGGAGUUGGCCAAGGCCCAUAAUAGCCAUGCCAGGUGCCCGAGCCACGCCACCUCCCUGAGAAGCAGAAUGGCCUUAGUGCAGUGCGGACCAUGGAGGCGUUCCACUUUGUCAGCUAUGUGCCUAUCACAGGCCGGCUCUUUGAGCUGGAUGGGCUGAAGGUCUACCCCAUUGA
rnacentral:lncRNA from 1 species